rnacentral:rRNA from 1 species
CCCUUAGAUGUUCUGGGCUGCACGCGCGCUACACUGACGCACGCAACAGGUGCCUGCUCCGAGAGGACUGGGUAAUCAUUUGAGUGUGCGUCGUGAUGGGGAUAGAAUAUUGUAAUUAUUACUCUUCAACGAGGAAUUCCUAGUAAGCGCCAGUCAGCAGCUUGCGCUGAUUACGUCCCUGCCCUUUGUACACACCGCCCGUCGCUCCUACCGAUGGGUGAUCCGGUGAAUGAUUCGGACUUCAGCGGCUCCCCUGGGGUGCGCCGGAGAAAGCUUUGUGAACCUUAUCACUUGGAGGAAGGAGAAGUCGUAACA